rnacentral:rRNA from 1 species
GAUGAACGCUUUCUUCUUUCCUAAUACAUGCAAGUCGAGCGAACAGACGAGGAGCUUGCUCCUCUGACGUUAGCGGCGGACGGGUGAGUAACACGUGGAUAACCUACCUAUAAGACUGGGAUAACUUCGGGAAACCGGAGCUAAUACCGGAUAAUAUAUUGAACCGCAUGGUUCAAUAGUGAAAGACGGUUUUGCUGUCACUUAUAGAUGGAUCCGCGCCGCAUUAGCUAGUUGGUAAGGUAACGGCUUACCAAGGCAACGAUGCGUAGCCGACCUGAGAGGGUGAUCGGCCACACUGGAACUGAGACACGGUCCAGACUCCUACGGGAGGCAGCAGUAGGGAAUCUUCCGCAAUGGGCGAAAGCCUGACGGAGCAACGCCGCGUGAGUGAUGAAGGUCUUCGGAUCGUAAAACUCUGUUAUUAGGGAAGAACAAAUGUGUAAGUAACUAUGCACGUCUUGACGGUACCUAAUCAGAAAGCCACGGCUAACUACGUG